rnacentral:rRNA from 2 species
UACGUAGGGGGCUAGCGUUGUCCGGAUUUAUUGGGCGUAAAGAGCGUGUAGGCGGCCUGGUAGGUCUGCUGUGAAAACUCGAGGCUCAACCUCGAGAUGUCGGCGGAAACCAUCUGGCUAGAGUCCGGAAGAGGAGAGUGGAAUUCCUGGUGUAGCGGUGAAAUGCGCAGAUAUCAGGAGGAACACCAAUUGCGAAGGCAGCUCGCUGGGACGUUACUGACGCUGAGACGCGAAAGCGUGGGGAGCAAACAGG